rnacentral:rRNA from 14 species
GUCGGCUCUUCCUAUCAUUGCGAAGCAAAAUUCGCCAAGCAGUCGGAUUGUUCACCCGCUUAAGGGAACGUGAGCUGGGUUUAGACCGUCGUGAGACAGGUU